UCUCAAAUCUCACUGUUAUUUUAAAAUAUUUUACAUAUGUGUAUGUGCAUGUGUAUGAGGAUGGCCUUGGAGGCCAUAAGAGGAUGUUAUGUCUGUAAGAGCUGGAGUUACAGGCAGUUGAGAGCCACCCAGCAUGGGUUCUGGGAACUCAAUAGAGGUCCUCUGUAAGAGUAGCAAGUGUUCUUAAUUACUGAGCAGCCAUCUUUCACUUUCUAAUAUAAUGAUACAAUAAUUAUAACAAUUGGGGUUGGGGAUUUAGCUCAGUGGUAGAGCGCUUGUCUAGGGAGCGCAAGGCCCUGGGUUCGGUACCCAGCUCCGAAAAAAAGAAAAAAUAAUAAUUAUAACAAUUACAAUAAUAAUAUUAUUAUGGGAACUUUGUGUUGACUUCCUCUUGUGGUUCCUUUUAAUGUCACAAAUUAGAAUCAAUAGAGUAUUUGUUUAAAGGACAAUCCAGGAAACUACUCUUAAGUGAGUUUCCUUUCCUAAGUAUGAAAAUCCAUUCAAGGUUUUCCACUGCCCUUCUUUGCAGAAGGAUUUGCUCUUAAGGGAGAUGGGACUUACAUCUCUGAUGUACAAGGCUAGCCCUGACCAGCAGCAGCCCCGGGGAAGGACUUCUCUUCCUUGCAGCCGUGGAUCUGCACGUUCCCAGAGGGAGCAGGAAGCUCCACAUUGGCAGUUGGCUACAGCGACUCCUCCCGCACGAUUUCAAUGUGAAAUGCAGAAGGGCAAGGUGCCCCAGUUCUGUCUGCUCCUAGAUAUAAAAGGCUUAUGGGCUGGCUCCUCGCUUGGGACUUUGCUUGGGGAAAUGGCCAAGGCGUUCCCAGCUUCAGCCUUGAGAAGUCUCCGAUUCUUCCAGAGGAAAGGCGCCUGAAGUGACAUCUGCAGAGAUGACAGCUGGUGCCGAUGGUGAUAGGUGGGUGGCUCUGAGCUACAAGCCAUGACCAGGGCACUGCCUAUGUCAGAUAUCCCUGCAUAGCUGCAGAUGCCUUGAGUAGGAGAAUAUCAUCACCUUACUUCACUUUCAUGAUCUCUCAGGAGAAGCAAUAUCUCUGAAUAGGUCUCAAACACAAAAUGAGAAAGUAGUAGGCAAACGCUUUCCAACACUUUUAAAAAGUGAGUUCCUGAGAUUUCAAUAUGUAGCAGGCAUUAAGAAUAUUUGGUUUGUUUAUUCUAUUUUCGAAAUAUAUGUAACAAAUUCUUUUUCUUAAGAUUGGUAUAUAAUCCGUGUGUGUGUGUGUGUGUGAUGCACCUACAUCAACCAUAUUAGACUUGUAAAAUAAGGAGGAUUGGCCUGGAGAGAUGGCUCAGAAGGUACACUGCUUGCUUCACAAGAUGGAAGACUGGUGUUUGGAUCCCCAGCACCGUGCAGAACCAGGGAUAACGGGGAUAACAGUAUGUGUCUGUAACGGCAGCACUUCUGCAGUUUCAUGAAAAGGGCGGCAGAGACAGGUGAAUUCCAGAAACCCGUGCGCCCGCCAGCCUGACGUGUGUAGCAGUCAGCAACAAAAAAAGACACCCUUUCUUACACUAUGGAAGGUGAAGCCUGACGUCUGAGUUUGUCUUCUGACCACUACAUAUGCACAGUGGGAUGUGUGUGCCCACACGUAUAUAACAUCAACAUUUACUUAUUGAAUUCCUCUCCUCUGACUUUCAAUACUGAAAAUUUCACUGUUGGCUUAUCAAUGGAAUAUAUAAGGAGCUAGAGUUUUAAGAAAUAUAGUGUUUUCACUACUUUUCUAAAACCAAAGGAAACAGGGUUUUUUUUUUUUUUAUUAAAGCAACAGCUUUAAUUUCUGUUCAAAUAGAAACGUGCUAACAGUGGGAAGAGAUGAAGUAUAGUUAAAUAUUAUUAAAUAUGAAAGUGACCCUGUAUUUUGUAGGAAGGGUGGUGGCGAACAUGGUUGCCACUCUGGAUGGCACAGUGCUGUGGGUCUGUUGCUCCAUAGUGCAUCCCUUCACAUGAGUUUCUCUGUGGAUGUCUCUUGAGAUACUUCUCGAACAUCAUGGUUAUCCACCUUGGGCCAUGUAUUCACAGUGACCAGCAGAGAGUCCAGUACUGAGUAGAUAGUAAUAUUUCCCAGGGUACUAACUAAUUGUUAAGAUUUGUUUGAUCUCAUGUUUAGGGUUAUUACAAUCAUUCUUAAUUUAUUGAAUCAUGUGCCUAGGUUAGAGAGUAUCAGUUUUUGUUUUAGAAUCAUCCACAAGUCAUUUUCUAGGAACGUAAGUGUUUGGCAGCUGAGCGACCUUCCUGCUUUGAUGAUUUCAUCACGUCAUAUUUGUAGCACGUUCUUUUUACCUAACGAAGUCAUGUAAUAUGGCUGAAUGAUCAAUGUUUUCUCUUUGGCUGCUGUUGUUGGUCUCACAGGUUGAUUACUGUCUAACGUUGGUCAUUCUUUUCUGGUCUGAAGCUGGCAAAGAAAAGAUCUCUUUUCUUCUAGGACAUAUUCUCUUAAGGGUGUAGGCUUGUGGCUAUCUGUUUUCCUGCUCUAACUUCAUUGUCAAGAUCCAAGUAGUGGAAGAAAAUGGCACAUUCAUAUUAGAGGUAAGUAGAGGAGACAGAGGACGAAUACUGUCCAGUCCAUAGACAGGUCUACUGAGCCCAGGCCCACUCUAGAAUUGUCUUUGUGACAGUAGAGUUCUUAGAAUGAGAUUGUUCACAUUGAGGUCUGGUAGUGGCAGCCAGAGAACUUGAAGCCCGUGUAAGAAAUGUUGAUGGAGUAAAUAGAAGCACAUACAACUCAGUAGUUGUAUUAAGCUUUGUUCUUAAGGCUAGGAUGUGAGGACCACAGGAGAGUGGAAACCCUUGGAAGCAGAGGAGAGUGUGCAUUGCACUUGGGUGGGAGGUGCAGUAGCAUGGGAUUGUAGACACAAGGACAGAAAAGUAGACUUGACUUAGAUUCCAAGAGGAUUUGGGAUUUAUCCUGUAAGCAGUAACUGAGAAGUUAUGAUAGCAUUUUAAAAUGGGUUUUUAGAAGGACAACUGGCCACAAGGGUUGACUGUUGAGAAGAGGGAGGAAAUGAAAGCAUCCAAGUUCAGUCCUGCAGUAAACCUGGGAAGGGAAGAGGAAGACCUACAUUAGGACUGUGCGUGGGUGGACCUGAGUGGCAGGGAUGUGGUCUGGGGAAUUUGGAUGGAGCCUGGCUAGGUGGGGAGGAUGAAUAGGAAGAGGUAGCAAUCUGACAUCUGGAUGGCUAGAUCUUGGGCAGAGGCAUUGCUGCUGUUAAGGAGGGUUAAAUAUGAGCAGAGGGUAUGUGAGCGUAGAUUCCAUUAGGCUUGACAAAUAGCCAUGGGGCGUCUAGACUGGAAGCAGUGCUUUGCUUUCCAACAGAGCAGCCAGAGCUGAUGGCAGUGUAAGAGGAAUGGGGCCAACCAGAAGAGGUUGCCCAGAAAAUUCCCCGGCUAAUCUUGCUCACUGUAAGAGCCCUGGAGAGCCAUUAAAA
rnacentral:sRNA from 1 species